UCAAACUCGCUCUGGCAAUUUGUUCUAUCU
rnacentral:piRNA from 1 species